UACGUAGGGUGCAAGCGUUGUCCGGAAUUAUUGGGCGUAAAGAGCUCGUAGGCGGCUUGUCGCGUCUGCCGUGAAAACCCAGGGCUCAACUCUGGGCGUGCGGUGGGUACGGGCAGGCUAGAGUGCGGUAGGGGAGAUUGGAAUUCCUGGUGUAGCGGUGGAAUGCGCAGAUAUCAGGAGGAACACCGGUGGCGAAGGCGGGACUCUGGGCUGUAACUGACACUGAGGAGCGAAAGCAUGGGGAGCGAACAGG
rnacentral:rRNA from 1 species